CCAUAAACUAGUGAAACAUACUUUCCCUUUGAAAAAUGUGAAACAAAUGAUGCCAAUGAAAAUCAGAAUGUUACAACUAUGUCUCAUCUUGUUCCUGCAACUCACUGCUUCCUCAGGUGCAGAUGAGAGAUCCGCAAAAUCUUCCACUCCUGUGUAUGUUUCUGCAGGCAUGAUACCCACAAAGUCAAAGACUCCUACUGAUGUUUCAAUGGAUAUGACAUCCACAAAAUCAAAGACUUCUACUGGUG